AGUCCGGGACUUCUGUGACGUCCAGCGCUACAACAUCCUGGAGAAGUGGGCAGGAGAAUGGGCCUGGAAACGCACAAGCUGGCCUCGCUCUGGAAAGACCAGGCUGUCGUUGAGAUCAACAUUGCUGUGCUCCAUAGUUUCCAAAGCAGAAUGUGACCAUCAUGGACCACCACUCGGCUGCAGAAUCCUUCAUGAAGUACAUGCAGAAUGAAUACCGGUCCCGUGGGGGCUGCCCGGCAGACUGGAUUUGGCUGGUCCCUCCCAUGUCUGGGAGCAUCAC
rnacentral:lncRNA from 1 species